rnacentral:rRNA from 1 species
AUUGAACGCUGGCGGCAGGCCUAACACAUGCAAGUCGAGCGGAGCGGCGGGCGGGUGAGUAAUACCUAGGAAUCAGACUGGUAGUUGGGGGUGGAGUUCGGAAAGGAACGCUAAUACCUCCUACUUGCAGCUGAGCCUAGGUGGGAUUAGCUAGUUGGUGGGGUAGUGGCCCACCAACGCUACGAUCCCUAACUGGGCUGAGAGGAUGAUCAGUCACACUGGAACUGAGACACGGUCCAGACUCCUACGGGAGGCAGCAGUGGGGAAUAUUGGACAAUGGGCGAAAGCCUGAUCCAGCCAUGCCGCGUGUGUGAAGAAGGUCUUCGGAUUGUAAAGCACUUUAAGCUGGGAGGCGUUACCGACAGAAUAAGCACCGGCUAACUCCGUGCCAGCCGCCGCGGUAAUUC